AGCAUAUUUCAUUGCCUGCUGCAGUUUUUGUACCAAGUACUCUUGUCCAACCUUUUGGGCCGCCAAGUAAGCCAAGUUCAAGUGUUGGUAAGCUUGUUGCAUCUGUUGUUGAGUGUAUUGCACAAUUGGUUGCACCAUGUAGCGUUGCUGGUAGUACUGGUAAGCUAAACGAUAGGCAAAGAACGCCCGAUUGAGUUGUUCAGAGAUGUAAGUAGAUUCUGGGAAAGCACCUUGGGGUUCAAUAUGUUUCUGUGCCAUCUGGAUGUACUGAAGAACUUGCUUGUAGUAGUAAUCAGCGGGGUAAUAUUGUGAAGUCAUGAAGCCCUCUUGUUGGAAUUUUAGUUGGUAAGCUUUUUGGGCAGCAAAGUAAACCAUUUGCACUUGGUCAACAAAAUAUUUGGGGAGUUGAGCCAUCAAGUUUUGUUGCUGAAUGUAGUUGUAGACAUUCUGGAAGUAUUGGUAAGCUUGGUGGACAUGUUCAAUGUAGUAUUGGGCAGCAUAGUAUGGCACGUACAUUUGUUGCUUGUUUCCAUAAAUUUGGUAGAUACGGAGGGCCUCCUGGAUGGCCUCCAUGCCCUGCUCCAGUUGCUGAUAAAUGUAUGGGUAAGCUUGUGGUGACAUCUGAGCACUAACAAAGAAUUGCAUGGCAUUUUGAGCAUACUUUUCCAUUUGCACGAGCUGUUGGUAAAUCAGUUCGGCUUGUUGAGAAGUGAAACCUUGUUGGUUAAAGUAUUUGGCGUAUUCGAUAAUGGGUUUUGGUACUCCCGAGAAUUCUUGCUCAUAAUAGGGAUAAGAUCCUUGGAGUUGUUCGUAGACAUGUUCGAUGUUUUUCAAGAGGUAUUUCUGGAAUUCUGGAGUGAACUCUUGGGUAGUGUAGUAGUGGAAAAGUUCGUAUGGUGCCUGGAAAUAAGGCUUGGACAGUCCGUUUUCGUACUCCUCGACCAAGAAUUUGACCACAUACUCUGGAUAGUCUUGUUCAGUUAAAUAUUUGGCGAACUGCAGGGGGGUGUAACCAAGCUUUUGGGAUUGGUGGAACAAGUAGGU